rfam:Glarea lozoyensis ATCC 20868 chromosome Tnknown GLAREA9, whole genome shotgun sequence.
GCUCCGCUGGCGCAAUGGUAGCGCGCGAGACUUCUAAUCUCGAGGCUGUGGGGUAAGUCUCGAUGUUCUAUUCUUUGAUUGCAAGUAACUAACCAACCGAAAGUUCGAGUCCCACGCGGAGUG